rnacentral:rRNA from 1 species
ACGAACGCUGGCGGCGUGCUUCACACAUGCAAGUCGCACGGAAAGGCCCUGCUUUUGUGGGGUGCUCGAGUGGCGAACGGGUGAGUAACACGUGAGUAACCUGCCCUUGACUUUGGGAUAACUUCAGGAAACUGGGGCUAAUACCGGAUAGGAGCUCCUGCUGCAUGGUGGGGGUUGGAAAGUUUCGGCGGUUGGGGAUGGACUCGCGGCUUAUCAGCUUGUUGGUGGGGUAGUGGCUUACCAAGGCUUUGACGGGUAGCCGGCCUGAGAGGGUGACCGGCCACAUUGGGACUGAGAUACGGCCCAGACUCCUACGGGAGGCAGCAGUGGGGAAUAUUGCACAAUGGGCGGAAGCCUGAUGCAGCAACGCCGCGUGCGGGAUGACGGCCUUCGGGUUGUAAACCGCUUUCGCCUGCGACGAAGCGUGAGUGACGGUAAUGGGUAAAGAAGCACCGGCUAACUACGUG